CAUUGGUAGCUUCACGCUCUGGUGACGUAAGCAGAGCGUGAAGGUUUUUUUUAUUUUCCCUUCACUAGUGCUUUACCUAUGGGAGAUACCGAUUUCGAAGGCAAAACUAAAAGUCGAUUUAUUAACUUAUUAGUCGAGAUACGUAUAAACCGAGUGUACCAUACGACAGCCUGAUCUUUCUUCUAUCGAUGCCCGCAUCCACUUUGGCGAUGGUACAUACAUAAAACGCUGAAAUUUGGCGAUAGGCGGGAAGGUGCAAUCCUAAACGGUAUCAUUCAAUUACAUCUUGAUGGUUGCUUUUU
rnacentral:lncRNA from 1 species